CAAGACUGAGUUUUGAGAGCUUUUGGGGGGGCAAAGGGGUAGCAUUGCCUACUGUCACAGAAGAUUUCACUUUGUUAAUAAUUAGUCUUAGCAGUUUUUUCCUUUCAAUGUUUUUGAUAGAGCAAAUGAAUGUGUUAGUCUAUAAAACUACAAAUUCCUUGAACAGCUAUGGGAAAAGUAAGCUGAGAGAAAACCCAAAAAUCUAGUUUAAAGUUAAGCAAUCUAAAGGCUAGAUUCCUGAGUGCAACAGUGGCACUUUCAUAUAUGACAGCUGAAGCGAGUGCCUGUAUUUCCCAGCACAGCCUGCAGCUGGGCAGGGUGGAAGCUGCUCCUUCGGCACAGCUAUCUCUCGGCUGCCAUCUCCUGGGUAGGGUCCUCAUAACAGUCCUGCCUCCCCCACCAUGUAGGUCACGACAAUCCAUCAGUUACUGUUUUCAUAGUAUCCAUCAGACUGAGCUUCUCUUGCAAACAGCAGAAUGCAAGAUCAAAAUCAGGAAAGGAAACUUUUAGAAUUAAGCAAUGCUAGUAUACGGACAUUCUGCCAGACAAAGGGAUGGAUCAGUGUAUUCAAAUGUUGCCAGCCAAUACCAAGACAUCUUUUCAGAAGUACAUAUUCUCACUCUGAAGACAUGCGCUUCCCUUCCGCAAACACCCCUCAUCUGGCAGAUCUCUACAGUAAUCACGAUAACCCUCUCGUCUGCAGUGUUCUUGGGAACAUCUGGCUGCACCUGGAGCCACUACCUCUGCAGCAUGCUGUGACACGGCUGGAAGAGCCACAGCAGGCUUUUCAGAAUUCUCUUUGACCCAGCGAGAUAAAGAAAAUACUUUAUCUCUGGAAAUAUCUGGACAGUAUUCAAGGACCACUUCCUCUGAGCUCAAGAUCAGUGCAUCCCCAGGAGGAAGAAGUCAGGCAGAGGAGCCAGAAGACCUGCAUGGAUGACCAAAGAUCUCCUAGAGAAACUCAGAUGGAAAAAGGAGGUACAUGGAAAGAAAACAUCAUUAAAAGCCUGGAAGAACUGAGUUCUGAAUUAAUUCUUCAUCGACAUUCAAAGCACUUCCCCCGCCCUUCCAUCCCAGCAUUUUUCCUAAGGCCCCUUGCUUGACCCAUAAAAACCAUGUAAUUGUUGUAAACAAAAAAUAAACUUCUGGCCAUUAAUGGGAGAUUAAAACUUUGUAAGAAGUAGCAUGGAGUAAUCAAGCCGUAAGCCAAGAGUAUAUUCAAGGUCUGAAAGAGGCUCUAUAAAUAUGCAUAUAUGGAAUUUAUUGAUUUUAUUAUUGCCAUUAUAUACUGUGUUUGCUAGUCAGUUAUAUUUAUUGUCAGUUGCUAGCAGAUUUUUUUGAUUUAAAGGUAAAAUAAUUGUGAAUUCUUUAUGGCAGCUUUGCAAAGUAAUAGAACCCAAAUUUUUGCCAAAAAGGUCCCAGUCAGUGCAAUUUGCAAAGGCUUGUGGUGGGUUAGCUUAAUCGAACUUUUUGGAAGAUACAUGUCUUAUGUGAUUCUUCUUUUAGUGUUCUUGAAUGGACAGAUGUCUUAAAGCCACCUUUAUUCCCUCCAUACAAGCCAUUGGGGCAGGCAGCUGUUUGGCAUUCUGUGCCCAGCUCUCUCUUCUCCUUCCUGCUGGAACCUCCUCACCUUCUUCCUUAGUGCUUUACAUCUGCUGAUCUUCUCUUUCAUCAGUCAUUUCUAAUAGAGUGAAGCAGUGGAGUUUAAUAUACUUCUCUCUAGGGUAGCAAGUAUAUUUUUUUCUGGGUUUGCUUGUAUUUUCUUAUAAGAAGUUACAUUUCAAUGCAGCCCUACAAUAUUUUCAUUAAGAUGAAACACUGGGGGCUUUUCUAUUGAGAUGAAGGAUAUGUCACAAUUUUAAGACUAUUUCUGAUGUGGUUCUUCAGUGACUUAUAUUUUUUUCCUGUGGCAAAAAAACCAACACAACAAAGGGAAUUGGCCUAGGGAAAAUGCCACUGGGAUACUGUUAAGAAGUCUGACUUAAAGCCAAGCAGCAUAUGCAGGGCGAAUGCUCAGUCUACCCAUUGUACUUACAGCCACAGGGGGUUGAGAAUAAUACCCUAUGAGAUUUUAACAGAAGUGUGGUAAAACUAUUCUGGUAUAGCUCCCUGUGUUUCUGAAAUCAGAAACCUUAGCUUUUGGUUUAACUUAUAUUAUGUUACUUUAACAUAGGUGUUUAUUUCUGUGUUAACACUGCACUAUUAUGCACUUAAGAAGAGCUGUGAAGAGAGUGCAGCCUGCCUCUUAGCAUACAACAUUAACAGCUUUAACCCAGGUACCACUCUUAUUCCAAUGCACUUGAUGAGCUGCUGAUGAGUCCGCAGCUACAGAGGUUAUGGCCAUUGUGCAUUUACUAGGUAGUUCUUUCCCCAGAAGGCAGCCUAGGAAGAGCUAGUUCAGUCUAGUCUAUUUUUGGACUGUUUUAAGUUGGACAAGGAAAGACUACAUUCAGGCAUAGGCCAGAAUUAUGAAGGUGAAGAGAAGAAUUGCCUUUGUUCAGUUUUAACUCCCCUGUGCCCAGAAUAGUGUGAUUUACCAGAGAAUGUGAUCCAUCUCUGACAGUUUUUAUUUUCCUUUCAGUUAAAGUAAGGAUAAUAAUCUAGGGCCAUCUGAUAGCUUGGAAGCGUGGAAGUGCAAAACAAAGAGGGGACAGCAUGCUAUGCUGGCUGGUCUCCUAUGAAACGUACUCUUUAUGGGGCAAAGAACCAGUGUAAUCACUGCCCGCUGCCUCCUCACAUCAUUGAGGUGAGCAAGGCAGAAGGUGGUUCUCAAAAUUACAAGCACAGGCCUGGUCUUUGCUGGUGGCAGUGCAGCAAUGCACUGCCUCUUGCUUAGGGCUUGGAACAAAUCCGCCGUUAGCCUUAAGGAAAGUCUGUUAGCUAAAAUAUUAGCUACAACCUUCAAAACAAAACUUGUUAUUAUAUUGUCACAGAACGCCUGUGGAUUUAUGAGGCCCUGGGAAUACAAUAAAUUAAUCACAGUAGUACUUGUUUGUUUGUGUAAAGAUUUGCAAAACAAGUAAUAAAGUGUUGAUGUGAUUUUUUUAACUUGGAAAUUCAUUAGGUCGUGUUCUCGGUGUAGUUUCCUUCUUUAAAAUGACCUAUUCUGGAAUACAGCUGGGAAGCCAGGAUUUGGUUGAAUAUGAUUAGGAUUUCAGGAGUCACAGUCUCAAGUCUUAUAAAAAAUUGUUCAGAUCCUAAGUUUGAUCUUCACUGUAUUUAUUCUUUAUCUGCAACAGU